GCUUACGGCCAUACCAGCCUGGGUACGCCCGAUCUCGUCUGAUCUCGGAAGCUAAGCAGGGUCGGGCCUGGUUAGUACUUGGAUGGGAGACCGCCUGGGAAUACCAGGUGCAGUAAGCA
rnacentral:rRNA from 1 species